rnacentral:rRNA from 1 species
AUUGAACGAUGGCGGCAGGACUAACACAUGCAAGUCGAACGAGUGGCGGACGGGUGAGUAAUGACUGGGAAACUGCCUGAUGGAGGGGGAUAACUACUGGAAACGGUAGCUAAUACAGCAUAACAUCUGAUGUGACCAGAGGGGAUUAGCUUGUUGGUGGGGUAACGGCUCACCAAGGCGACGAUCCCUAGCUGGUGUGAGAGGAUGACCAGCCACACUGGAACUGAUACACGGUCCAGACUCCUACGGUAGGCAGCAGUGUGUAAUAUUGCACAAUGGGCGCAAUCCUGAUGCAGCCAUGCCGCGUGUAUGAAGAAGGCCUUCGGGUUGUAAAGUACUUUCAGCGGGGAGGCGUUACCCGCAGAAGAAGCACCGGCUAACUCCGUGCCAGCAGCCGCGGUAAUAC